UACGGGAGGCAGCAGUGAGGAAUAUUGCACAAUGGGGGAAACCCUGAUGCAGCAACGCCGCGUGAGCGAAGAAGGUCUUCGGAUCGUAAAGCUCUGUCCUAAGGGACGAAGAAGUGACGGUACCUUAGGAGGAAGCCCCGGCUAACUACGUGCCAGCAGCCGCGGUAAU
rnacentral:rRNA from 1 species